AUUGAACGCUAGCGGGAUGCUUUACACAUGCAAGUCGAACGGCAGCACGAAAAGAGCUUGCUCUUUUUGGUGGCGAGUGGCGAACGGGUGAGUAAUGUAUCGGAACGUACCCAGUAGCGGGGGAUAACUACGCGAAAGCGUGGCUAAUACCGCAUACGCCCUACGGGGGAAAGGGGGGGAUCGCAAGACCUCUCACUAUUGGAGCGGCCGAUAUCGGAUUAGCUAGUUGGUGGGGUAAAGGCUCACCAAGGCAACGAUCCGUAGCUGGUUUGAGAGGACGACCAGCCACACUGGGACUGAGACACGGCCCAGACUCCUACGGGAGGCAGCAGUGGGGAAUUUUGGACAAUGGGGGAAACCCUGAUCCAGCCAUCCCGCGUGUGCGAUGAAGGCCUUCGGGUUGUAAAGCACUUUUGGCAGGGAAGAAACGGCGCUGACUAAUACUUGGCGCAACUGACGGUACCUGCAGAAUAAGCACCGGCUAACUACGUG
rnacentral:rRNA from 1 species